UAAAUUAAAUUUACUUUAUAUAAAUAUAAUUUUCACUUAUUUCAAAUUUCUAUUACUAUACUAAUUUCCUAUAAAUUUAUUAAUUUUUUCUAUUAAAAUACUUUAACCCCCAUUUAAAUAUUUUAACUUAAAAAUUAUUUUUAUUAAAUCUAUACUAUUAAUUUUUAAUUUUAU
rnacentral:rRNA from 1 species